UUAUGGCUCAGGACGAACGCUGGCGGCGUGCUUAACACCUGCAAGUCGAACGAGAAUCUAUGGAUCGAGGAUUCGUCCAAGUGAAGUAGAGGACAGUGGCGGACGGGUGAGUAACGCGUGAGGAACCUGCCUUUCAGAGGGGGACAACAGUUGGAAACGACUGCUAAUACCGCAUGACACAUAGAGAUCGCAUGGUUUUUAUGUCAAAGAUUUAUCACUGAAAGAUGGCCUCGCGUCUGAUUAGCUAGUUGGUGAGGUAACGGCCCACCAAGGCGACGAUCAGUAGCCGGACUGAGAGGUUGACCGGCCACAUUGGGACUGAGAUACGGCCCAGACUCCUACGGGAGGCAGCAGUGGGGAAUAUUGGGCAAUGGGCGCAAGCCUGACCCAGCAACGCCGCGUGAAGGAAGAAGGCUUUCGGGUUGUAAACUUCUUUUGUCGGGGACGAGUAGAAGACGGUACCUGGCGAAUAAGCCACGGCUAACUACGUGCCAGCAGCCGCGGUAAUACGUAGGUGGCAAGCGUUGUCCGGAUUUACUGGGUGUAAAGGGCGUGUAGCCGGGAAGGCAAGUCAGAUGUGAAAUCCACGGGCUUAACUCGUGAACUGCAUUUGAAACUGUUUUUCUUGAGUAUCGGAGAGGCAAUCGGAAUUCCUAGUGUAGCGGUGAAAUGCGUAGAUAUUAGGAGGAACACCAGUGGCGAAGGCGGAUUGCUGGACGACAACUGACGGUGAGGCGCGAAAGCGUGGGGAGCAAACAGGAUUAGAUACCCUGGUAGUCCACGCUGUAAACGAUGAAUACUAGGUGUGCGGGGACUGACCCCCUGCGUGCCGCAGUUAACACAAUAAGUAUUCCACCUGGGGAGUACGAUCGCAAGGUUGCAACUCAAAUGAAUUGACGGA
rnacentral:rRNA from 1 species